CCUACGGGAUGCAGCAGUGAGGAAUAUUGGUCAAUGGCCGGAAGGCUGAACCAGCCAAGCCGCGUGAAGGACGAAGGUUCCAAGCAUUGUAAACUUCUUUUGUCAAGGGACAAAAUCAGGCUCGAGAGCCUGACCGCGGGCACUUGAAGAACAAGCAUCGGCUCACUCCGUGCAAGCCGCCGCGGUACUACGGAGGAUGCGAGCGUUAUCCGGAUUUAUUGGGUUUAAAGGGUGCGUAGGCGGGCUGUUAAGUCAGCGGUAAAAGCCAGGGGCUCAACCUCGGCGAGCCGUUGAAACUGGCUGUAUUGAGAUGUCGAGAGGUAUGCGGAAUGCGCAGUGUAGCGGUGAAAUGCUUAGAUAUUGAGCAGAACUCCGAUGGCGAAGGCAGCAUACCGGCGGCGAUCUGACGCUGAGGCACGAAAGCGUGGGUAUCGAACAGGAUUAGAUACCCCGGUAGUC
rnacentral:rRNA from 1 species